AGCCCUGGGGUGUAAACACGCCGGAUUGCAAAUCCAGAGUAGCAGACGAAAAGUCUGCCGGGGCUU
rnacentral:tRNA from 1 species